rnacentral:rRNA from 1 species
GAUGAACGCUGGCGGCGUGCCUAAUACAUGCAAGUAGAACGCUGAAGGAGGAGCUUGCUCUUCUGGAUGAGUUGCGAACGGGUGAGUAACGCGUAGGUAACCUGCCUGGUAGCGGGGGAUAACUAUUGGAAACGAUAGCUAAUACCGCAUGACAACAGUUAUUGCAUGAUAACUGUUUAAAAGGGGCAACUGCUCCACUACCAGAUGGACCUGCGUUGUAUUAGCUAGUUGGUGAGGUAACGGCUCACCAAGGCGACGAUACAUAGCCGACCUGAGAGGGUGAUCAGCCACACUGGGACUGAGACACGGCCCAGACUCAUACGGGAGGCAGCAGUAGGGAAUCUUCGGCAAUGGACGGAAGUCUGACCGAGCAACGCCGCGUGAGUGAAGAAGGUUUUCGGAUCGUAAAGCUCUGUUGUAAGAGAAGAACGAGUGUGAGAGUGGAAAGUUCACACUGUGACGGUAUCUUACCAGAAAGGGACGGCUAACUACGUG